UAACUUACUUGCGGGGUGAUUACCUGAUCACAGUUGGUUUGCGGGCGAGGCUUGUCCAUUGCACAUCCGGACUUGCUUUGCAACUCGAGUGAAUUCGACAACACGUUUCGGAAUUCUAACCUGCACAAUUCUCGGGUAGUGGGGGACUGCGUUCGCGCUCUUCCCUG
rnacentral:snRNA from 1 species